GGUGGAGCAUGUGGUUUAAUUCGAAGCAACGCGCAGAACCUUACCAGCCUUUGAUAUCCUAGGACGACUUCUGGAGACAGAUUUCUUCCCUUCGGGGACCUAGUGACAGGUGCUGCAUGGCUGUCGUCAGCUCGUGUCGUGAGAUGUUGGGUUAAGUCCCGCAACGAGCGCAACCCUCGUCCUUAGUUGCCAUCAUUAAGUUGGGCACUUUAAGGAAACUGCCGGUGAUAAGCCGGAGGAAGGUGGGGAUGACGUCAAGUCCUCAUGGCCCUUACAGGCUGGGCUACACACGUGCUACAAUGGCAUCUACAGUGGGCAGCUAUUCCGCAAGGAUGCGCUAAUCUCCAAAAGAUGUCUCAGUUCGGAUUGUCCUCUGCAACUCGAGGGCAUGAAGGCGGAAUCGCUAGUAAUCGCGGAUCAGCAUGCCGCGGUGAAUACGUUCCCAGGCCUU
rnacentral:rRNA from 1 species